CUUUGGAAUGGAGGCUUCCUGAAAGCUGUGUUCAGAAUGCCCAAACUCAGGUGCCAGGUGGCAAGUAACUGCAGUUAUGUUUGGGGCUACUUAGUUUUGUGGGCCUUGCUUAGGUCAGAAUUAGUCUGGUGGCACCACAAAAUAUUCAUUGAGGCCCAAAAUACAGCCUGGGAAGCUGAAGGGAAGGCCCGCUGCCCUGAAUGUGCUGUGGGGAAGCUAUUCGCAGCGGGCUGUGUGAGAGAGGGUGUUUGUCCCAUGAAGAUGAUGUCUGUGCUGAAUAGGUUAGCAGCGACUUGGGUUCCCUUCUUGGAGAGAUUAAUAGGAAUGGGCAGUGUUGGAAUGCCCUGGUGGGGAGGGGAGGUCAGUGAGCAAUGCAUGGAAAAAGGGUGUGCAAAAUCCACCUGCACACGGAGGGUUUGAACUAAUUGCACAGUGGAAGGAAAGGACUGAGGCAUCGCCAGUGGCAUCUGCCCUUGGUAUUAAAAAGCGGAAAGGAGGUCCUAAGAGAAGGAGGCUGCCCAGAUAACAAGUUGAAUAAUAGGAAAAUCAUCUUUAUACCUUUAUAUAAACAGAGGUUAAGAAAUAAAUUAUAGACUCGGUCACAAAUGUUAUCUCUGGCUUCCUUGGGUAUGUGAAUGAGCAAAGUCUCAGCCUGCAUUUUUCCACUGCUUCUCUGGUUUUCAGAGAUUUCCACUGCUCCAAAUGCUUCUAAAGCCCAUGCCUUCCGGUCACCUGUUCCUCCUCUCCUUCCACCUCCUCCUUCCUCCACUGCCUGUCAAGGACAAACAUCAUUUCCUGUCAAGGACAAAUGCAGACUGGUGUUUGUUGUACUGUGAAGGGCCUGAGGAAAUGAGUAACACGCAAUCAGAUUGAGAGGGCUUCCUACCUUUGUCGUCUCUUUCUUAAUGGAGCAUGGGCGGUCAUGGAGCAAGUCGGAGAUUUUAUUAUGAUGCAGAAAUAGUAUUUCUUGCUCACCAAACACAGCCCAGUUUGCCCUAGCCUUUCCCUCAAGUUCUCGUUUGUUCCCUAACCAAGGCGACCACUCCUAAAAUAACAUUCUUUUGAAAGAAGAAUUUUUCUUCUUUCAGCUUUCUAGGAGAACUUUUAAGGCGCGUUCUAUGGAAAAAAAGUCAAUGUAUCACUUAUGGUAGUGAUAGGACAAGGAGGGUAGUGAUAGGACAAAGGGUAAUGGUUUUAAACGGAGACAGGGGAGGUUUAGGUUAGAUAUUAGGAGGAAGUUUUUCACACACUGGAACAGGUUGUCCAAGGAGGUUGUGGAUGCCUCAUCCCUGGAGGCAUUCAAGGCCAGGCUGGAUGUAGCUCUGGGCAGCCUGGUCUGCUGGUUGGUGACACUGCACAUAGCAGGGGGGUUGAAACUACAUGAUCAUUGUGGUCCUUUUCAACCCAGGCCAUUCUGUGAUGAUUGCAUUAAAUGUUGUAGGUAGAUGCCACUGACCUAAGCAUCCCUUCUCCUCUGGACUACUUCAGCGCAUGAAGCUUUCAAGACAGGGCUGCAAAUGCCUUUUGUGUUUCUUUGGACAAAAAUGCUAUUUUCAUGCUGCUGAAGAUUUUUUUUAAACUCCCCCACAGUGAGAGACUGAGCCGAGUUUAGCAGGCCAAUAUCAGACUGAGGUGCAUCAUUCAAUCUCAGGCCUCAGGUAUAUGGUUGAGGCGCGCUUUCCUGUGCCCCAACAGUCUCAUGCAUGUGACAAUGCCAGCUGUCUGUUAGCAUCUUCAUUCUCUGCCUGUGCCUGUUGGCAGGGCCCAAGCCUGUGGUUUCAAAGAAGUUAAGCAAUUACUGUCAGGUGACACACUGUUCCUGAUGCUGUGAUGAUUACAGGGCAUUGCUUUGUGUGCAUCACAUCCUGAAUGUGGCCCUCUCAUCUGCCACACAUGCACCUCUCUUGUUGGAAAUAAAUAUGAAUUUACAACAAAUUCAGGGGAAAAAGUAGAUGAAAUGGUAGAAGAAAAAUGUUUGGUUUUUUUUUCUUUGAAGCUAUAAAUGUUAAAAUCUCUAUUUGGCGCCUCAAAAGCUAUGUUGUUCUUGCUUGCUAUCCCAAAGACCUUUGCAAGUUCUGGACAGUCUCAGAAGACACUAAUGAUGUUUAUUUUUCCUUAUCCUAAUUCUUCCUCUCUGGGAAAGUUCAUCUGGUAGUAACUACUCCAAGGAGAAUUUGUUUGUCUCUGAAGUCCGGACGUAGGGCCCAGUGAUCCCAUGACCCCGUUCCCUGCUCUGAUAUCCUUCCUACUGUACUCUAACAGCUCUGGUUGUUGCUGUAGGUUUCAUAACCCUCUAGUAAACCUGAAGGAAGUUCAGAGUUGUACCAGAGGUGUGUGCUGGGUUAGGUAAUCCAAUGAGAGCUCUUGAGUCUUUCAGUGAGCUCUGCCUGCCAUUAUCCACAGAGGUGCUGCUGGAGGUGGCCAUGUCAUACUUGGCUGCCUUGGCUUUCUGGUGGGCAGCAGGCCUCAGCCAGCAGAGUCCCAUCUUGCAUGGGGUCAUGACAGCUUCUCUGCAUGUGCAAUUUGCUCUAAGGUAUCAAAUGGCUCCUGUAAUGAAAGAUUUGCUGCAGUAAUGGUAGUCAAGCAACAGUGGGGUAACCAGUAGGAAAUCAAGUCCUAAUUAAAAAAAAGGAGCUUUGUCAAAACGCUGUGAUAAUACACAAUUUUCCAACCAAGUUUUUCUGCAUUUAAGUUAGAGACUAACCCAUUAGAGAGCAUGUCUAUGAUUUUGGAGUGACAAAAUAGUGAAAGAAAGAGCCAAAAUUUAAAGAUGCUCUAAUCUCACGCAGCUGUUAAUCAACAGCACAUAAACUAGUAAUGCUGCCCUCGUUCUGGAGGAAUAACAGCUAGCAAGAUGUCUAUUUAUGGGAAAAAAAAAUGAGAAUGUUAGGAAGAUUGAUUUUAGACAUCUUGUUAAAACUUCCAGGCUUAAAUUUAUAAGCCUUCCUCAUUUGUAUUUGGGCGAAUUGCAGUCCUCUGAGGCCCUGUCAUAGAGCAUGUUUAUUUUUCUGUUCUUCAGAAGAAAAGCGUUAAGUAUAUUUUCUGCUCAUGGAAAGUUGUACUUCAUGCGUUUUGCAGUGGCAGUCCUCUGGGUAAGGCAUUUUAUGAGAAUCAGAGUAGUAACUGCAGGGUGGGAUCUUUCAUGUUGCAGUCCUUCUCAGCUCUCCUGCUGAUCUGAAACGCCCACUACAAACCAAAGGCUUGGCCCCCCUUUCCUGUGCUUGCACUGAUCUGCCUGGUGUACCUGGAGUAAAUAUUCUUCUCUUCAUCUCCUUUCUUCCUUGUUUUUCACCUUUUUCACCGUUAUUUCUGUAAUUUGUAAAAAAAGGGCUUGCAUUAAGUCAUCUUUUGACUUUGUGGAUGUUGCUCUGAUGGCUAUGGCAGUAGUUCUGUCUAUGGCUAAGGAAGGCGAGAAGUCAUAGCUCAAGCUUUGGUAUGGCUUUCCUUUGCUCUCCACGCUGAUACUUGUGUGUUUCUCAUGGUUCUCUUUCAGUGCCUUUAAAAGAGCUGCUCUAACAGUAAAUCAGGCCUGGGAAUGUAGCUUCCCUGCCCACACAUAUUAUAAAGGAAUUAUCCUUUUUCAUGAUGGAAAGGGGUUAAUAGGAGUUGCAAUGGCCUCUGCUCCACUUGCUUCCGCUACCCGGGAGUGUUCUUUGCUUAGACGGACACAAUACCAUAAAAAUACUCUUUUAUCAUUAAUUUUCUUCCUUUUGGUUUGUCCACCAGGAGUUCUUCUCAGGAAGAGUGUAUCCUGAGGUACGCUGGGGACAAACUGUAACUGAAAUGUUUUUCUGUGUGACAAAAGAGAAAGCUGGGAUCCAGGCUCCCACCACCACUAACCUCUGUACUCACUUUUAUCUGCUAUGAAAACUGUUAUGUCAGACACAUCCUCCUUUUCCCUGUUUGUCUGAAAGUCUGUGGUCGUGGUGCAGAUGCUACAGGGAUCAGAGGAAUGGGAGCCUGAGUAGACUGAAGCUUUGUAGUCUUACAGAUCUUUGGUUUCCCUUUACUUCUACCUUCAAGCUCAGCAGGAGGAAGGUGACUCUGCUUUACAUCACAGAGGAGAUUCCUCCACUUUUCAUGCUGGCUCCUUCCUCUCAUCCACUGUACUCACUGCUGCCUCUGAACACCUGGGGACCACACUGCAGCACAGUUUUACUCCCUUAUGUCUGAGAGGCUGAAACAGAUACUUCGUGCAGUGGCUUAUGGUAACUGUACUCUCAAUUUUUAUUCACUGUUGUAGAAGGAUGUCUACAAAUUAAUGUGAACUGAGGAUCUUUGGUCCUGGAUCUAGGCUCAAUGGAUCAAACAUGGUCUUUCACUAAACUUUCACUAAAACUGGAGUAAUUAAAGAGCAUAGGCUUCGAGAAAAGAUUUGAAACUCAAUCCAUACUGUAAAAUGGAUUGGUCUCCACUGUCUGUUUGGUGUUCUACUGUGUCAAAAAUUCAAAUUUAAAUGAUACUCUAACAUAUAGUACUAAAAACUGAUCUGAGUAAACUUGUCUAGCCCAGAAACUUUAACAGUUUUCUGGGCUUUUCUCUUUGGACAUACAGCCCUGAAGGAGAAGGCGGCACAAAAGAAUGAGCAACUGAGGAUAUAAUUUAAGGAACAUGGCUUCUGUUUUGUUCUUAAUCAAUGAAAACCACUUUUGGUGGUGGCACGUCAUCCUGUCUUCCAAAGAACUGCAGAAAAGCACCCACUCUUCCCCAAAAGAUCAGGCUCUGUCCAUGCAUGGCUGCCGUGCCACACUUCAGUGCCACCUCAAAAUGAGUGUCAUGACUUUUUUUGAGCAGUAUGAGAACACAAAGCCAGACUAAAGAAAUACCCCAAAUAUCUUCCCCACACACCGCCACAAAAAAAAAAAGAGAGAGAGAAAGAGGAAAAUAAUGUUGAGGGUUGCUGAGUGUAGUGGGGGUUGCUCCUGAGCUUGGAUAGGAGUUGCACCCAUUGAAUUUAUGAAGACAGAUGGGGACCGCUUGGCGAUCACAAAGCUGGGAGAGAUGGGGAUCCAGCCAGCUGGUGCCCACUCCCUGCCGCUUCCUGCCACCUAGUGGUCAGUGUUCUGCCAGUCUUCUGCUCAGCAGUUUGUGGCAUUAGAAAGGAUGGUCAGAAGAGAGGCAGGAUGCUGUGUGCUCUGGGGGAAAAAUGGGCGAAGCACUACAAGCACUCUGCCCUCUCCUAGCCAAGCGACCCCAGCGGUCCUGCCCUUUUGAGUGAGACUUUACCCUCACCUAACUAUGUGGUGAUAACUAUUAGUCUAAGAUGGUGAACUUGGAUGCUGUUGCAUAUUAUAUGAGGAAAUCUGACUCACAAAUGCAGGUAAGUGGGUUGGCCUAACACUUCAGUCUCCUAUUUACCCAUUCACUGGAGCUGAAUAAGUUGUUCUUUGUCUACACUUGUGGUACGCUGAAUGGGUUUCAAGUGUAUUAUUUUUUGUUUUCCUGGGAGGGCUUUGAUCUGCAUUCAGCCGUUGACACUCAGUGCUGCCUAUUCACUGUAUACAGAAAGCAAUCCAGCCCAGUUUCAGUCUCCAGGGUGUUGUUUUUGCAAGCCAUUUCAGAUUAUCAGGGUUUUUAAUGCUGUAAGAAGGGCUCCCAGAAGAAAUAAAGUGCUUAGACACACUAAUCCAAAAGUUCCACCCAUGCAGAAAAUGAAAGACAAUUGUGUUCUUUAUGAGCCAGGUACUUUCCACCUUACCCUUCAUAGUAAUGAGAUAAAGCAAAAACAGGAGAUGGACGUGUCUUGUUAAUUUGUAUUGUCUUCUGCUCCUCCAGCUCUCCACUCCCAGCAAAAUCAGCACAUCUAGCAGCAGAGGCAUGGAAAGGCAGGUGGUUUCCCCUGCUCACUUCAAGGUGGCAUCUGGCACCUCCCUGGGGACGGGACAUCUGCCUGUGAAGAGUCAGCAUGCAGGUGUUCAAGGCACAGGUGUUUACUGCACCUGCCAGGAGGUGGAGAGGUCAUGGACUGUUGUGGCCAGAACAAGGACCUCUUGCCCAUAGCAGCUCAGGAUUGUCACAACUCCUGCCAAAAUAAACACAUAUUCAUUGCAAAUGGGCUUUUCUCUGUGUAAAGGAUUUUCUCAGCCCGUACCUCCACUGAGGUUAUGGCUUUAAAAUUGAUUUUAUAUACUAUAGUCAAAGCUCGCUAACGUAAUACCUGUUUUCUGGAGCAAGAAUGCUGUUUCUAAAUCUAUGAAUUCACAGUCUUUUAUCUAGCAUGGAUGAAAUAAAUAAGGAAUUACUUGAGAGAUGUUCGCAGACCCAGAGAGAUAGGUUCUUAAAAGGUAGCAACUUCGGGUUUUCAGGCAUUGUGCCUGAAGAACAUCAUCAAACAAUCUGAGAGCGCAGAGAACAGAAGCACGCUUGUUGGUGGGUCUGAGGGUGGGCUGAAAGAUCUGGGGUCACUUAGUCUAGAGUGAGAUGUAAUGUCUUCAAAUGCAUACCUGUAGAGAGGAUAGCAGUAAAUGUCCUCUGCGCCAGCUUGAAAUACAGUAAGAGGCUUUAAGUUCUUGGCUAAAUGAUAGGAAAAGUCUCUAUUUGUUGUCAUGAUAAGAUGCUGAAUAGAUGAACUUGAGUGACAAAGGAAUGUCCAUCACCAAAAGUCUUGAAAAACAAGUUAGAGAAAGCAUUGCUUGCAGUGUCCUCAGUAUUGGGUCACGUGUUCUUUCCUAUGCUUUUUUCUCUUUUCUUUUACUCUAUAAAAUAAGUGAUUUCCUUAAUUUUACAGAUGGAGAUUUAAAGAUGUAGUGUUAAAAAGCACCCAGCCCUGAGCAUCCUCAUGUGCUUCUAAAGCUGACUCCAGCCGGAGUGCUGGCCAGAGGGCCCCUUGCCACUGAGAUAUGAGAUCCUAAGCAUAGGCCUCAGUGACUUUCUCAGGAAUAGAUGUAUCAUACUUAGUGUAAGAGCCAGGAAUGUGUGUGUAUGGCUUUCAGGAAGGCAGUUUUGUUUCACUAUUGGAACUGAUAGCCAGAAAUAGUCUAAUUUCCAAGCAAUUAAUGCCCACAUUUCCUAGAUAUGAAAUGAGUUCAUUUUUGUGCACGUUGGGCUAUGUGUUACGACAGUUACUUCAAGAAUGAGCUAUGUUUCUUCUCUUUUUUACUAGGGAAGAAGUUCCCAGAGCUUUCUGUGCUGGUGAAAGAGGCAGCUGUGCUAAUUCUGAUACCGAGUAUUCUCUUACAAACUGAGAUGCUGCAAAACUCCUCAGAAGAGCAGAAAAGGAAGACUUACACCUCUGUCUGACACAGUUAAAAUCUCUCCCUGUGCACUUAUCAGCUUGCAUAUCUCUGUGAAACUCUGUGCUUCAGCGAGGGCUACAUCACUAGGCAACUACUGCAAAGAAACAUGAGUUCUACAGGAUUUCAGGGAAGAAUUCUUCCUCUACUUUUGUUCACUUCUGAGUUUGUUUCUUGGCACCCUCUUCCUUAAUGUGAGGUCAGCCAGAGUACUUUCACAGUUUUUCCUGUCUGUUUUGUCGUUUGUUUCUGUUUCGCAGGCUUACAGCUCCGAAGUCUUUCCAAGAGAGAAGAGAAACCAAACUGGAAGAUGAGAGCAUUGCACAGGCACCAAAUGCUGUUUCUGUUCAACCUUUGUUUCAUCGAGAAAACACCAAGAGACAGGAUAGAAGCAUGAAGGUGGUAAUUAACCACAUAGCUGAUUUUGGACUGUUACCAUGCUACCAGAAAAACAUGCUGGGAGAAGCCAUCAUCCACCGUGAAUGAGUUUUCUUGUAUAUGGAAUCCACUUGUUUAUGAGACUCACUUUAAACAAUAACAGAAUCACAAAAUCACAGAGUUGUAGGAGUUGGAAAGGACCUCUAGAAAUCAUCGAGUCCAACCUCUUCUGCUAAAGGAGUUCCCUGCAGCAGGUCACACAGGAAAGUGUCCAGGUCGGUUUUGAAUAUCUCCAGAGAAGGAGACUCCACAACAUCUCUGGGCAGCCUGCUCCAAUGCUCUGCCACCCUCACAAUAAAGAAGUUCUUCCUCAUGUACGUAUGGAACUUCCUGUGUUCCAGUUUGUGCCUAUUUCUGUUGUCCUGUCACUGGGCUCUGCUGAAGGAGACUGGCCACAUCCACUUGACUCCUGCCCUUUAGAUAUUUAUCAACAGUGAUGAGAUCCCUCUCAGUCUUCUCCAGACGGAAUAGUCUCUCAGCCUUUCUUCAUAAGGGAGAUGCUCCAGGCCCCUAAUACUCUUUCUGGCCUUCCACUGGACUCUCUCAAGAAGAUCCCUGUCUUUCUUGAGUGAGGAGCCCAGAACUGGAUGCAGUACUCCAGAUGUGGCCUCACUGGGGCAAAGUAGCUGGGGAGGACCUCCUCCCUCAACCUGUUGUCCACACUUUUCAAUGAACCCCAACUUUUAGAGUCCAACUGGUCCCAGUAUUGUUCUGCCAAUGAGGAAAAGCUCCAGAGUGAAAAUGUUGGACUCUGAUUAUGCUUUGCUGUCAUUCAGCAGCACUCAUCCUUCCACCUCUGUCUUGAACAACUGUGUGACUGGUCUUUCCUCGCAGUAAUGAAUUAAACAGUGUAUAACCAAGUAGUUAUCAAUACAGAUUUUGUUCUCAGAGUUUCUUUGAACUUUAGUUUCAACUAGACAAUCCCUGGCACCAAAUCCAAGAAAAGAAAAACAUGAGGAAAAUAGUGAUGUAUGGGGAUUGGUUAUAUAUUCAUAAAGCCACUAAUCACAGUUUCUUUUCUCUCUCAUUUUUGCUAGGCUUUCUUUGUCUAUUUUCAGGUCUUAUCUCUAUAUGAACACUGAUAGCAGAUAAAUCAAGACAACAGCUUCCUUCAUUUUUAGGAGUUUUGUUAAAAUUGACUUUCUCCCUCUGACAUGAAUAUCAGUUUAUAUCUCAAUCAAAUCUGGAAUUGUAGUUUAGAGAGAAAAUACAUAAAAUAUGCGUAGAAGAUUUUCCUAUGUCAUCCCUCUCACAGACACUUUCUGUUACUUUUAGAUUUAUUUCAGAUUAUUGUUUACUUCGCAAUCAUUAAUAAUUUACAGAAGUAAAGGCUUUUGUUUGUUAGUGAUUUGUCAUAACUGGAAUAAUGAAAAUAAUUAUAUAUAUCUCCAGUUCUUCAGUUUUGUAAAGUUCUGCUAAACUCAAGUGUUCAAGCUGUAAUAUAUCUCUUCUACUUUGGGUCUUACCAUUGAAUGACCUGACCUUUUAAUAAAGAUUUUUGUUUCCUAUGGUGCUUGAUUUCUUUGGCUAAGUAAUAAAAAGUAUGUGACACUUAAGAGCUUCCUACUUCCCUACUCUCUCUUAUAGUAGAGUGCUUAUGUAAUGAAGAGUGAUUGCUUGCAAGUCCAGAGAAAGAAAUCCUAAGCAUAUCUGUAUCUUCCAGUUGAUGGGUAUUAAAAAAAAAAAAAAAAAAAAUAACCAAACUGCCUGUCAGCCUUGGGAAGAUAAAGAGGACAGAGCAGUGUGAAUGAAUUCAUCAGCAACAAAUGACAGCAAACUUGUCUGAUUUCCCUCUGUGACCAAGUAACAGACAUUAUGAAGAGUCAAGCAGCCGUAUCUAUCUGUCUGUCUGUGGUAUAUCUUGACUUCUGUGGUAUUUUUGAGGCUGCCUUUGACAAUUGUUACCUAGAUGUAUUUUGAUAACAUGCUAUAGUUGAAUGCACAGUAGUUGCAAAAUUCUAAAUAAUUAGACCAGAACAAAGUAAAAAUGAAAGGCUGUGCUAUUGGAGGUUAUAUAUUGAAUUGUUCCAAGUCGGGUUUUGAAUUUUUUUUUUUAACUAAUGACUCAGUUGAAGGAAAAGAAAAUAUCUAUUAAAUUUACAGACAUUAGAAAGCUGGCAGAAGUUAUAUAGGCACUAAAGGACAGGUUUUGACUUCUGUAUGAUCUUGAUAAAUUAGGUGUUUUAUAGAAAGACAGGUGAUAGUUCAAGAAGACAAGUGCUAAAUACUAAACUUUUAUAGCAAAGUGAUUGGUAAUGCAAAGACUGAAUAAGAACAACAGCAGUAUAAUUAAUCCCCUUGACAUCAGAUGAAGAUUAGUUGCAUAGGUUGUUGGAAGGGAAAAUGUCUUAUCACUGUUACUGCUUGUUCUAAAAAAAUGAUUGUUUUGCACUGGUCAUUGUAACAUAGAGUAACACUCAGCAGCAGACCCUCUCAGAGAGAACUGGGUUCUACUGUCUGCGCAGAAAGGCUGAGGUUACCUUAACUGGAGACUGGAAUCACUUAUGCAUGUUCUUGUGUUGAUAUCACAAGAAAUUUCCCUCCUUAUGAUUUCUUGCACUGCCACCGGUUAAGUUGUAAGGAGCUAAUUCUACUGCUGUCAAAGGAUUUCCU
rnacentral:lncRNA from 1 species